CGUGGAGACAGGUGGUGCAUGGCUGUCGUCAGCUCGUGUCGUGAGAUGUUGGGUUAAGUCCCGCAACGAGCGCAACCCUCACCCCUUGUUGCCACCGGGUCAUGCCGAGCACUCUAGGGGAACUGCCGGCGUCAAGCUGGAGGAAGGCGGGGAUGACGUCAAGUCAUCAUGCCCCUUACGCCCUGGGCAACACACGUGCUACAAUGGCUGGUACAAAGGGAUGCAAGACCGCGAGGUGGAGCUAAUCCCAAAAAACCAGUCUAAGUUCAGAUUGCAGUCUGCAACUCGACUGCAUGAAGGAGGAAUCGCUAGUAAUCGCGCAUCUGCACGGCGCGGUGAAUACGUUCCCGGGCCUUGUACACACCGCCCGUCACACCACGAAAGCCGGCUGUACUCGAAGUCGCUGAG
rnacentral:rRNA from 1 species